AAUCAAUAAUAAUUGCCAACGACAAAUUAAUGGAUUACGCUGUGGGAGCAAUUAAUACGAUGGAUUAUGAUAAUUCAGGUGGUGC
rnacentral:sRNA from 1 species